ACUCCUACGGGAGGCAGCAGUAGGGAAUCUUCCACAAUGGGCGCAAGCCUGAUGGAGCAACACCGCGUGAGUGAAGAAGGGUUUCGGCUCGUAAAGCUCUGUUGUUAAAGAAGAACACGUAUGAGAGUAACUGUUCAUACGUUGACGGUAUUUAACCAGAAAGUCACGGCUAACUACGUGCCAGCAGCCGCGGUAAUACGUAGGUGGCAAGCGUUAUCCGGAUUUAUUGGGCGUAAAGAGAGUGCAGGCGGUUUUCUAAGUCUGAUGUGAAAGCCUUCGGCUUAACCGGAGAAGUGCAUCGGAAACUGGAUAACUUGAGUGCAGAAGAGGGUAGUGGAACUCCAUGUGUAGCGGUGGAAUGCGUAGAUAUAUGGAAGAACACCAGUGGCGAAGGCGGCUACCUGGUCUGCAACUGACGCUGAGACUCGAAAGCAUGGGUAGCGAACAGGAUUAGAUACCCUGGUAGGAUAGCGUAGUCGU
rnacentral:rRNA from 1 species